AGAGAAGUGGGUCCUUACGUGCCCCGCGCGUGCUCCGAUACCCAAAGACACGCGAGCGCGGCGAUAAGCAAGUUGCAAGGGUUCCACCCUCCAGGGCUCUCUACAACCUGGGACUGAGGAAGCCAAACUAACUUUGCAAAUAUACCUGCAUCCGGGUAGAGUGGAGAACAUCACAUUCUGAAUUACACAGGUCAACAAGAAAAUUUACGUCAUCGCAUCAUCAGAUUUAUUAAUGGAGGGCACCUAGUUUACUACCCAGGAACUGAUGGUCUCUUGGGAGAAAUACCAGGCAUAAUGUAACAAUUCAUUGUGGUCAUUUCCUCUGUGUGGUGAGGCUGGGGGUUAUUCUUCUGCAAGGAAAAUGAGAAGUACGAAGAUUUUUAGAUGGGCAUACAUCAGAUACCUCCUAUUAAUAACAAACAAAAAAAUAAGAUUUUACAAAAUAAAGAAGUGGGAUGUCAGAUUGGUGUAUGCCUGGUGUCUGCCCACACUGGCAAGCUUUCUGAUUCCAGGCACUAAAUGGUCAGUUUCACUCAGAGGAGCCACUUUUCUCUGCUUCCCUGUGUGGUCAGACAAAAAUAAAAUAAAAUAAAAUAAAAAUUUUUAAAAAAAUAAGAAAAAUAAGAAGCACAGUAAAUUAUUUUUUAGAAAAAAUAUUGAUGAUGCCUAAUCAAAAUACAAAAAAAUAGCAUCUAGUACUAUAUCCUGCUACAUUAGUCAUAGUACUACGCUUUAUCACAUAUAAAAAUAAUAGCUAAUGUUUACUAAACAUUCACCACGUGCCAGCCACUGUUCUAAGGACAUUAUUAUGUGUUAACUCAUUCGUUCUUCACAUAAUCCACAAGGUAUGCGCUGUUAUUAUCCUCCCUGUUUUCCCAUCUGGGGCACAAAGGCACUAAUUGUCUUGUCUGAGAUUACUCAGCUAAGUGGAAGCUGAGACCUGAGGGACCCAGGCAGGAGCUGAAGAAGCCCUGUGCUCUUAGUAUCUCCAAGCAUAAGAUGUAUGUUCUGAUCAAGAGACUACGGUAGCUCACAGAUGUCCAAAAGAGCUUUUAGAAAUGAAUAGCAGCUCCCUUUUCUUACUUUCUAGUCAUUUUGUGCUAUAUAUAUUUUAAUUAUAUAUAGUACAACAUGACUUUAAAAUUUGACAUAAUUUGUCUAUUGUAUUAGUUUUUCCAUCUAAAGAUUAAUGGUUUCAUAUUAAGUUAUAACCUUUUGUGAACAGAAAAAAGUAAAUGGCUUCUUUUGGUAGUUUUUUGGAAUGGCAAGAAUAAGAUUAUAACAAUUUUAUACUAAAAUGUAUAAAGGUUUCAAACUACUGGCAAAUGUCUAAAGUUGGUGAUUUGAUCACAGCACAGCUUCAUUAUAGAAAUGCCAUCUCUGGUCACCUCCAUCUGAGUGUAGACCAACCUCAACACAUUAGAUGAGGAUGAUUCUAAAGUCAUAGUGAGCCACUGUUGGCAAUGGUCAGUAGCAGUUCGUUUGGAUCAAAAACAGUAUAGCUGGCCAUAAUUUUAGGUUUCUUGUUCAUUCACAUCUAACGUAAUGAAUUUAAAUUGUAUCUAAAAUCUAAAUGAGAGAAUUUGUAUGACUUUUUAAGUGCCAUUUUUUUAAUGCAUCUGUGCUAGAAAUUGAACCCAAAGUGCUGUGCCAUUGAAUUACCCCCAGAUACUAUCUGAUCUUACAAUACUAUUACUAAUACUAAUACUUUCUGUUAACUCAUCAUGAGUUAUUUGAAAUUCCAAUCAUUUUCUCUUUAUUCAAGAAAAUAUGGUUCCCUCUAAAAACUUUAUUCUCAUGAUGGUCAUACCUAAGAAUUUAAAUGAGCUACAAUAAAUGCAGCACCUGCCUUCAAAUGCC
ensembl:processed_transcript A430035B10Rik uncharacterized LOC110316005